rnacentral:sRNA from 1 species
GAAGGGGCGGGGCCAUUCUCUCAGUUAUAAGGCUUGGAAGCCAGCAGCUGCGACUCCCGAGACCCCCCACCAGAAGGCCAUGGUCUCCCCACGGAUGUCCCGGCUCCUCUCCCAGACUGUGAUCCUAGCGCUCAUUUUCCUCCCCCAGGCACGGCCCGCUGGCGUCUUCGAGCUGCAGAUCAACUCUUUCGGGCCGGGUCCAGGCCCUGGGGCCCCGCGGUCCCCCUGCAGGGUCCGGGUCCCCUGCCGCCUCUUCUUCAGAGUCUGCCUGAAGCCUGGGCUCUCGGAGGAGGCCGCCGAGUCCCCGUGCGCCCUGGGCGCGGCACUGAGUGCGCGCGGACCCGUCUACACCGAGCAGCCCGGAGCGCCCGCGCCUGAUCUCCCACUGCCCGACGGCCUCUUGCAGGUGCCCUUCCGGGACGCCUGGCCUGGCACCUUCUCUCUCAUCAUCGAAACCUGGAGAGAGGAGUUAGGAGACCAGAUUGGAGGGCCCGCCUGGAGCCUGCUGGCGCGAGUGGCUGGCCGGCGGCGCUUGGCAGCCGGGGACCCGUGGGCCCGGGACAUUCAGCGCGCAGGCGCCUGGGAGCUGCGCUUCUCGUACCGCGCGCGCUGCGAGCCGCCUGCAGUCGGGACCGCGUGCAUGCGCCUCUGCCGUCCGCGCAGCGCCCCCUCGCGGUGUGGCCCGGGACUGCGCCCCUGCGCACCGCUCCAGGACGAGUGCCAGGCGCCGCCGGUGUGCCGAGCAGGCUGCAGCCCCGAGCAUGGCUUCUGUGAACAGCCUGGUGAAUGCCGAUGCCUAGAGGGCUGGACUGGACCCCUCUGCACGGUCCCUGUCUCCACCAGCAGCUGCCUCAGCCCCAGGGGCCCAUCCUCUGCUACUACCAGAUGCCUUGUCCCUGGGCCUGGGCCUUGUGACGGGAACCCGUGUGCCAAUGGAGGCAGCUGUAGUGAGACACCCGGGUCCUUUGAAUGCGCCUGCCCGCGUGGGUUCUACGGGCUGCGGUGUGAGGUGAGCGGGGUGACAUGUGCGGAUGGACCCUGCUUCAACGGCGGCUUGUGUGUCGGGGGUGCAGACCCUGACUCUGCCUACAUCUGCCACUGCCCACCCGGUUUCCAAGGCUCCAACUGUGAGAAGAGGGUGGACCGGUGCAGCCUGCAGCCAUGCCGCAAUGGUGAGGUCUGGAGGCCUGAACGGCGAGGGAUGGGGGUGGGGGUCCUGCUUGGCUCAGACAGUCCUGGGUUGGAAUCCUGGCUUUGACUCUUCUAACCCUAGGGCCUGGGGACCUGAACUUCCACCCCCAAGCCUGUAAAAUGGGCAAGGAGACAUUCCCUAUCUCAUAACUAUUAAUAUUUACUGAGAAUUUACUGUGUGCCA